GGAGCGGUGGCAGAGCCUGGCUGAAUGCGGCUGCCUUGAAAGCAGCUGGGCCCGCAAGGGUCCCGGGGGUUCGAAUCCCUCCCGCUCCG
rnacentral:tRNA from 1 species